rnacentral:rRNA from 1 species
UACAGAGGUCUCAAGCGUUGUUCGGAUUCAUUGGGCGUAAAGGGUGCGUAGGCGGCGCGGUAAGUCGGGUGUGAAAUCUCCCGGCUCAACUGGGAGGGUGCGCCGGAAACUGGGCCGCUGGAGUAUGGGAGAGGCAAGCGGAAUUCCAGGUGUAGCGGUGAAAUGCGUAGAUAUCUGGAGGAACACCGGUGGCGAAGGCGGCGUCCUGGACCAACACUGACACUGAGGAGCGAAAGCCAGGGGAGCAAAGCGGG